rnacentral:tRNA from 1 species
GGAGCGCACCGGCGCGGGCAACGCCGAUCGUUCGCGGUGGUCGAUGGCGGUGCUCGCCGCCGCGCCGCCGCCGUCCGGGUUCGGCGCGCACUACGC